ACGCGCCGACCAAUCGCAGCUCGGGGUGGGAGGGGGGCGGGCCAAUUGCAGUUUUGAGAUGCGAGGCAGACAAACUAGCCGGGUUGAGCUUGACCUAGGGAUCACCAGGGAAAAACCGGGUUGAAGAAGGCCAGGGCGGGGCAGGGGUUCUCCAGGACAGGGGUUCUCCCCACCCGAGCGCAGACUUCUUUCGGGCAUUCCGCUUCACUGGGGACAGGCCCCUGUAUCUCUCUGCAGAACUGGUGGCAGCACGAGGCAGGGUCUUGGGUCUGUUCUCCCAGCUAGCGGCUCCCUCAAGGCGGUCUGUCUGGUGUGCAAGCGCCCCCUGUGGGCCGCACUUGGAUCUCCGGACUCUGUGCGGUGGUGGGGAAACUGGUGGCAUGGGGUGGGGUUUGGAGAAGGACAUGAGAGGAGGGGAGGGGCACAGAGGGGGGCCUCAGAUCCGAGCAGGUCCGCGGGGGUCAAGGAUCCAUCACAGCCAAAAGGAUCCAGGCGAGAAUGCUUUCUCUGAAAGACUUGGGGAAGAAGGCACAUCCCAAUCUUGGGAUGGGGCAAGUGUGGAGACUUCAUUACUCACUUGAUGGCUUGGGCACCGGGAGACCACAGCAUGGGGCACCUAUGUAGGGUGCAGUCUCUUCAGUAGAAACUGUCUACCGCUCCAUUAUUAUGAAGACAAAGGGGCUUCAAGCUGCCAAGCAACAACUAGGAUUUGAACCUGGGUACCUGAGUCUCUAUGGGGUCAAAUCCCAAGUUCUCUACCUCAAGACUCUGUCUUCCCUCUAACUGUGAGGAGAUUGAUGCACAGAGAAGUUAAAAUGCACCCUAGAUCUCACAGCUGACAAGUGGUUAGUUGGGGCUUGUAGCCCAGUUCCCCCCAGUGCCCCAUCGUCUCUAAGUGCCUUGACCUAACAGCUCCUGGGCAUCCUUCAAGAUCCAGCUUUAAGGUCCUCCGUGAAGCUUCCUGCCUCCAGGCCAGUCCAUGUCAGAGUACCCCAAUGGUGUCCCCUUGAAAGCUCCCUUACAGAUGUCAGUGAUUAUGCAGUUCUGUAUGUUAAAUUAGAGGGCCCCAAGGGUUUUGCCCUCCAGCCACCUUUCGUGAAUUUGACAGUUAUGCACCUGUGUGCACAGUAUGUGGCCUGCCCCUGUUUUGCCCCAGUGUUGUGGGUCCCCUUGGCCAACUCUUUAUCACCUUUCCUGCUGUCUGCUCCCUACACACUCUUGCUCUAACUGCUAGGCCCACAUCGCCACCCAGUGGCGAGUCCUCUCAUGGUUUCACUCAACAAAUUUCCAUAUUCCAGGAUAACCCCUCUUCCCACUCCAGGGAUUGGCCUUGUCACAGGAUCUCCCUGCUUCUUCCUACCCAAAACAGUCACAAGAUGGGUCAGUCACAAUAAUACCAGCAGUGCCUUCCUUGAAGUCUGGCUUAUUUGGUCUCUCUACUCUCAUCAUUUGCAGCCUCUCUUCCCCCUGAAGGACAGUUCACAUGUAUAUGUGUGUAAGGGAUAUAUUUAGCCCUCUCCCCCUCUCCCCACACUCACUGGACCUCUUUGCCACUGUAAGCUAUUCCAAAGGCCUCAGCCCUAGACUUCUUGGACAUACAGCUAUCAUGGAGGACUGUGUGGCAAAGUCUGCCACCAUGAACCCACCCCUGCCCAGCCAUCCCAAAUGCUGAAUUCUCCCAUCAGUGUGCAGGUGGUUGCUGGAAAAUGAGCAGCUAAGGGAAACCACACCUUCUGACUCUCUUGGAUUAAAUGAGCAGUUGCAAAACAUUUGUCUAUGAUGGACCUAUAUGGGAAAUGUGUGUGCUUUUGUAAGCACUGGCAUUGGUUAUGGAGACUGCAAGAGGACAGGCAUCACCAGUGCUUACUUUUUACAUUUCCCUAUGGUUUGAAUUUAUUAUAACAACCAAGUUUUACUUAUGCAAUUAAAUUUUAAUUAAAAAGAGAUAAGUUAAAAAAUACAAUUAUAAAAUGUUUAGAAUAAUUGUAAUCUAAUUCCAUUUUUAGAAAAUAAGAUAUCUCAGCAACUACAGCAUACACUGAGAUAACUUUGGCUGGGACAAGGAGCCACCCUCAGCUGCCCAGCACUCUGCUUUUGAGUGGGACCCUGCUUGUCCAGAAUGAGAUCUUGCUCAGCUUUGGGCUCACCUGGCCCAAACCAAUCACCUCCAGAGGGAGGAUCCUUCUCCAGUCUCCAAGCUGCAGAAGUUUCCAGAUCACAGGGCUUCCUCCAAGGCUCUGAGAUCUUGGAUCAGAUUCUUAAGUGGGACUCAGGGAGAGAGAUUCUGGGUCCAGCUAGGCAUAAAUGUGUGUAUGUGUGUGGUGUGCAUGUGCAUGCCCAUGUGUCUGUACACAUGUGUACAUAUUUGUGCAUUUGUGUGCAUAUUUGAACAUAUGUGAGAGCAUAUUUGUACAUGUGGAUGUAGGAAUGGGGCAGGGAGGCACAGGGGAGGAGAGCAUCAUUUGAGGGUAAGAGCUGGGCCCUGGAGUUGUUCUUCAGGGGUUGGGGUGGAGACUCUGCCAUGACAGCUACUGAUCUUAGGCAGGUUGCUUGAUCUCUAGGGCUUGUCUGUCUUGUAGGCUGUGUGGGAUGUGUUUAGUCCUGCCUACUCUGGUUCCAGUGAGGUCAUGGAGUGCCCAGGUAGAACACCCACACAGUGUCUAGUCCAAAAGAAGGGUUCAGUACGGUCAGUUGAGGUCAUCAUCAGGGCCUCUCCUUCGCUGAACUCUGCUAGCUUGAAGAGUGUUUCAAGGAGACAGGGCAGAGCCCUGGGCACUGUCCUCCAGCACAGCAGGUUCCAGCUCUCCAGGAACUGCUCUGAAGAGCCUUGGACCUACAGGACCCCAGGAAUCCACGUGCACCUACACUUUAGGUACGCUGGCGGUGGGCCACCACUAAGGAAGUCGCAAGCCUUACAAGCCUUGCUAGAGGGCCGUCUGGCAGCGUGCAGAGAAAACGCCCGACUCAAGUGGCUUCCUGUGGCUCCAAGAGAAACUGCGCUGUCACUUCGUAGGUCGCUGGUAAGCUCCGGGGCUCUCACUGCCCUCGCGGUUCCGGGGCUCGGGAGCCUAGGAGGU